GGACAGCGGCGAAAGGGAGAGGACAACACGGGAAUCUGCCUUGGGGACGAGGAUAGCGUCGGGAAACUGACAGUAAUACUCGAUAAUGUUUGCGGACCAAAGGUGUGAUUCCGCCCCAAGAUGAGCCCGUGCCCCAUUAGCUAGUUGGCAGGGUAAUGGCCUACCAAGGCUAUGAUGGGUAGCUGGUGUGAGAGCACGACCAGCCUCACUGGCACUGAGACACUGGCCAGACACCUACGGGUGGCUGCAGUCGAGAAUCUUUGGCAAUGGACGAAAGUCUGACCAAGCGACGCCGCGUGCGGGAUGAAGGCCUUCGGGUUGUAAACCGCUGUCGUAGGGAAUCAAAUGUACGGGGGUUCUCCCCUGUAUUUGAGAGAUCCUAGGAGGAAGGAGAGGCUAAGCUCGUGCCAGCAGCCGCGGUAAGACGAGCUCUCCAAACGUUAUUCGGUAUUACUGGGCUUAAAGAGUUCGUAGGCGGCUUUGUAGGUGGGGUGUGAAAGCCCUCGGCUUAACCGAGG
rnacentral:rRNA from 1 species